rnacentral:rRNA from 1 species
CGCCCUGGGUGAGUCGGGACCUAAGGCGAGGCCGACAGGCGUAGUCGAUGGAUGACGGGUUGAUAUUCCCGUACCCGUGUGCGUGCGACAAGUGAUGAAUCUUAUGGUACUAACCACCCGCUUGUUUCUGCUGAUCUUUUUGGUUGGUGGUUUCAGGUGCGUGGGAUCUUCGUGGGUAGUAGUCAAGUGAUGGGGUGACGCAGAGUGGUAGCUAGGCUUCCUUAUUGGAUUGGAGUGCAAGCGUGUGGCCUGUGGGGUUGGGAAAUCCGCCCCACAUAUUAAGGGUGAGGCGUGAUGCGGACACCAUUUGUGGUGGUAGUUAGUGUGCCUGUGCUGCCGAGAAAAGCCUCUAGCGAGUGCGUGCAUGGCCCGUACCGGAAACCGACACAGGUGGUCAGGUAGAGAAUACUAAGGCGUUCGGGUGAACUGUGGUUAAGGAACUCGGCAAAAUGCCCCCGUAACUUCGGGAGAAGGGGGACCAUUACUGGUUGCUGACAGCAUGAUGGCUGGUGGUGGUCGCAGAGGAGAGAGGGAAGCGACUGUUUAUUAAAAACACAGGUCCGUGCGAAAACGUGGAAGUUGAGGUAUACGGACUGACGCCUGCCCGGUGCUGGAAGGUUAAGAGGACCCGUGAGCACGCCUUAUGUGUGUGCGAGGCGGAGAAUUGAAGCCCCAGUAAACGGCGGUGGUAACUAUAACCAUCCUAAGGUAGCGAAAUUCCUUGUCGGGUAAGUUCCGACCUGCACGAAUGGCGUAACGACUCCCCCGCUGUCUCCACCACGGGCCCGGCGAAAUUGCAUUACGAGUAAAGAUGCUCGUUGCGCGCAGAAGGACGGAAAGACCCCGGGACCUUCACUGCAGCUUGGUAUUGGCGCCCGGUUCGGCUCGUGCAGGAUAGGUGGGAGACUGUGAGGCCGCCGCGUCAGCGGUGCGCGGAGUCGUCGUUGAGAUACCACUCCGGCCGUGUCGUGCGCCUGAACCUGGGCCCGUGAUCCGGGUCAGGGACAGUGCCUGGCGGGUAGUUCAACUGGGGCGGUUGCCUCCCAAAGGGUAACGGAGGCGCUCAAGGGUCCCCUCAGCCUGGUCGGCAACCAGGUGUCGAGUGCAAGUGCACAAGGGGGCUUGACUGCGAGACCGACGGGUCGGGCAGGUGCGAAAGCAGGAACUAGUGAUCCGGCGGCUCCGUGUGGACGGGCCGUCGCUCAACGGAUAAAAGGUACCCCGGGGAUAACAGGCUGAUCCUGCCCAAGAGUCCAUAUCGACGGCAUGGUUUGGCACCUCGAUGUCGGCUCGUCGCAUCCUGGGGCUGGAGCAGGUCCCAAGGGUUGGGCUGUUCGCCCAUUAAAGCGGUACGCGAGCUGGGUUCAGAACGUCGUGAGACAGUUCGGUCCCUAUCUGUUGUGGGCGUUGGAAAUUUGAGGAGAGCUGCCCCUAG